rnacentral:rRNA from 1 species
AGCAGUCGCCGCGGGAAUGCGUAGGUGGCAAGCGUUGUCCGGAAUUAUUGGGCGUAAAGCGCGCGCAGGCGGAUAGGUCAGUCUGUCUUAAAAGUUCGGGGCUUAACCCCGUGAUGAGAUGGAAACUGCCAAUCUAGAGUAUCGGAGAGGAAAGUGGAAUUCCUAGUGUAGCGGUGAAAUGCGUAGAUAUUAGGAAGAACACCAGUGGCGAAGGCGACUUUCUGGACGAAAACUGACGCUGAGGCGCGAAAGCGUGGGGAGCAAACAGGAUUAGAUACCCCUGUAGUCCCUGUCUCUUAUAAA